rnacentral:piRNA from 1 species
UCAAAUGGAAGUAGCUGGUAUUUGGGA